CAGCCGUAAACUAUGCGCGUUAGGUGUACUGGUGACCACGAGUCACCGGGGUGCCGAAGGGAAACCGUGAAACGUGCCGCCUGGGAAGUACGGUCGCAAGGCUGAAGCUUAAAGGAAUUGGCGGGGGAGCACCACAACGGGUGGAGCCUGCGGUUUAAUUGGACUCAACGCCGGAAAUCUCACCGGAUAGGACAGACAUAUGAUAGUCGGGCUGAAGACUCUACUUGAUGAUCUGAGAGGUGGUGCAUGGCGUCAGUGACU
rnacentral:rRNA from 1 species